rnacentral:lncRNA from 1 species
GGUCCACCACUGGGUUGGAUUGAGUAGUCCAAAUGGGUUUAAAUCAUUUUGAUUAUCACUAGCCCAAGAUCAACAACGACACCACCACAUAGGUCUUGUCCCUGCAUGUGUUCACCUAGAUUCGUGAUUGAGUCGUCGUGCAAGCACCGAUGCUGGUGAGGUCGUGGUCAUCGUCGUGCAUGCUAGAUAGGGGGCGGCGAAAAUAGAGGCGAGAAGAAGCACCCAUUCUAGUUACCCAACUCUGGCGGUGUCACAAUGGAGUAUAUGAGAGCUUGGAAGGCCCAGUCCAUGAGGGGGUAUUCUUGAGCCUGUCAAUGAUGUAGAUGCACGGUUUGUCAAUGACUGAGGGAAAGGAUGAGGUACUUGAGCACGAUGUGGGUAGGUAAGGAGCGGAUGGCAUGGAUGUUGAGGGUCUUUACAUGGAUGUGGGAGCCACACCGGGGUCUGUGAACCAAACGGGGCCUAAAUAAAACAGUAAAAGUUAUGUACAGGUAUGAGCAGAGUUAGAGAGUAAAUCAGAGGAGAUAAGCUUAUUUUGUAGGUGUAUAAAUUUUUAGAAGACAAUGUACAUUGUGACUUUGUGGGAAAAUUUAACAUAAUCAUUUUUUUUGUUCGUUUGGCUGAUAAACCAUAACAGAAAGAAUUGUUGACUGAUUUAUUGUAAGAGAAAAAAUACUGUUGCAUAACUGAUAGGUUCAAGCGAACAAUACGAACGUAUUCUAGUUGGUU